rnacentral:rRNA from 1 species
GCGAAAGACGGGUGAGAAACCCGUCCGCCGGAUGACUAAGGGUUCCAGGGUCAAGCUAAUCUGCCCUGGGUAAGUCGGGACCUAAGGCGAGGCCGACAGGCGUAGUCGAUGGACAACGGGUUGAUAUUCCCGUACCAGUGAAGAACCGCCCAUGCUGAGCCGGUGAUACUAACCGCCCGAACCAUCCCGAACCUCGUCUUUGACGGGGUCGGUGAUGGGGAGCGCGGGACCUGAACCGGGGAGGCAAGCGCAUUAACAGGUGUGACGCAGGAAGGUAGCCGGGCCGGGCAAUGGAAAUGACCUGGUCUAAGGGUGUAGGGCUGCCGGUAGGUAAAUCCGCCGGCUGUAUGCCUGAGACCUGAUGGGCGCCCACAUGGUGGGUGAUCCG